GACGAACGCUGGCGGCGUGCUUAACACAUGCCAGUCGAACGGAAAGGCCCUGCUUUUGUGGGGUGCUCGAGUGGCGAACGGGUGAGUAACACGCGAGUAACCUGCCCUUGACUUUGGGAUAACUUCAGGAAACUGGGGCUAAUACCGGAUAGGAGCUCCUGCUGCAUGGUGGGGGUUGGAAAGUUUCGGCGGUUGGGGAUGGACUCGCGGCUUAUCAGCUUGUUGGUGGGGUAGUGGCUUACCAAGGCUUUGACGGGUAGCCGGCCUGAGAGGGUGACCGGCCACAUUGGGACUGAGAUACGGCCCAGACUCCUACGGGAGGCAGCAGUGGGGAAUAUUGCACAAUGGGCGGAAGCCUGAUGCAGCAACGCUGCGUGCGGGAUGACGGCCUUCGGGUUGUAAACCGCUUUCGCCUGUGACGAAGCGUGAGUGACGGUAAUGGGUAAAGAAGCACCGGCUAACUACGUG
rnacentral:rRNA from 1 species